UAUUGUUGGGGGGACACUUGGGUAACU
rnacentral:piRNA from 1 species